AUUAUUUAUAUUGAUAAAUCACUUCAAUCUUGGACACUAGAUUAGGAAGAAAGAACUAGAAUCGUAUAAGGAGUUUCUUAAAUUUGUUUGUUCCAAAACUUUUCUAGUUAUAGUCGUGAAUUAGAUAAGGCUGGACGCUGGACGGAGUGGCCUUCGCCAGGAGCUUGCCUCUACCACUCCCUCCCGCAAAAGAGAGAAAGGGCUUUGAUUGUUUUUAUUUUUAUCCCAAAUAAAAAUAAUAGAAUAUUUAGAUGCUAUCACUUUCUAUCGUAGAGGUACAGUCGAUAGAAAUUUAUAACCAGCUUUUCAUAACUUUUGUACUUUUAUACAUUUUUUGCAGUAGAUUGUUUAUAAGUUAGAUAGACUUCAAGUGAGUUAAAAUCAUCUUUUUUACAUUAACAUGCUAAUUUUGAACAUGUUUUUAAAAUUUUGUGAAGGAUUUAAGGGUAUUGUUUUUUGACUUCGCCAAGAGAGAGAGUUAUCUUAGCAUAUGUCAUUGUUUAUUAAAAAUUUAAUCAUAUUUUAAAGGAUUUACUUCACUUAUCUUAGCAU
rnacentral:lncRNA from 1 species